AACGCACAUUGCGCCCCGUGGUAUUCCGCGGGGCAUGCCUGUUCGAGCGUCAGUACAACACUCAAGCUCUGCUUGGUAUUGGACCGCACCGGUAACACGGUCGGUCUUAAAAUCAGUGGCGGCGCCAUCUGGCUCUAAGCGUAGUAAUACUCCUCGCUACAGAGUCCCGGUGGAUGCUUGCCAGCAACCCCCAACUUUCUAAGUUUGACCUCGGAUCAGGUAGGGAUACCCGCUGAACUUAA
rnacentral:misc_RNA from 3 species